rnacentral:rRNA from 1 species
CCGAAAGGCAGGAGUGCCUGCAAGGGAGCGCGGAGACAGGUGGUGCAUGGCUGUCGUCAGCUCGUGUCGUGAGAUGUUGGGUUAAGUCCCGCAACGAGCGCAACCCUCACCUCUUGUUGCCAUCAGGUCAUGCUGGGCACUCUAGAGGAACUGCCCCGGUCAACGGGGAGGAAGGCGGGGAUGACGUCAAGUCAUCAUGCCCCUUACGUCCUGGGCUACACACGUGCUACAAUGGCCGGUACAAAGGGAUGCCACACCGCGAGGUAGAGCUAAACCCAAAAAGCCGGUCUAAGUUCAGGUUGGAGUCUGCAACUCGACUCCAUGAAGGAGGAAUCGCUAGUAAUCGCGUAUCAGCACGACGCGGUGAAUACGUUCCCGGGCCUUGUACACACCGCCCGUCACACCACGAAAGCCAG